AAAGGAAUAGACGGGGACCCGCACAAGCAGCGGAGCAUGUGGUUUAAUUCGAAGCAACGCGAAGAACCUUACCAGGGCUUGACAUAUAGGGGGAUAUGCUAGAGAUAGCAUAGCAUCUUCGGAUGCCCCUAUACAGGUGGUGCAUGGUUGUCGUCAGCUCGUGUCGUGAGAUGUUGGGUUAAGUCCCGCAACGAGCGCAACCCCCGUUCUUAGUUACUAACAGGUAAUGCUGAGGACUCUAAGAAGACUGCCGGUGACAAACCGGAGGAAGGUGGGGAUGACGUCAAAUCAUCAUGCCCUUUAUGUCCUGGGCUACACACGUGCUACAAUGGUCGGUACAACGGGCAGCCAACUAGUGAUAGUGAGCGAAACCCAAAAAGCCGAUCCCAGUUCGGAUUGUAGGCUGCAACUCGCCUACAUGAAGUCGGAGUUGCUAGUAAUCGCGGAUCAGAAUGUCGCGGUGAAUGCGUUCCCGGGUCUUGUACACACCGCCCGU
rnacentral:rRNA from 1 species